GUGACUGCCAAUGGGAAGUGUGGAUUUAAGUCUGAUGGGCAGUGGGGUCAGGAUAUCCAGAUCAUUUCCAAAACCUGGUCUGGGGGACUAAAGUGGAGUUCAAGCACCCUGAAAGCCUGAUUUGGGCAAAACUACAAAACAGAGAAAACCCAGAUUUCCUGCCAGCUUGGUUGCCAGUGUUUUAAAUGGAAGUAGGAACUCAAGCUCUGCAUCUCCUUGCUGUUCUAGCACAUGGCUACAAUGAAGGAACAAUUUUAGAACUUCUGAUGAGAUCAGGUGAAAUCCAACCACACCUUUGAUUUAUAAAAACCGGAGACUUCAAGUUUAUUGGAUUUUGAGGAAUAAAACUGGAAGAAUUCCAAACUGGCAGGAUAUGGUACCUUUCCACACAGUUAUACUAAGGGAAUGGCUGUAGUGCAUCAGAGGAAAUGUGCAUCUAACCUUGUGUUCUGUCAGACAAUACAUGAUUGAUAUGACCAAUAUUUGUUAAAUGGAAUAAAAUAUAG